GAUGAACGCUGGCGGCGUGCUUAACACAUGCAAGUCGAACGAAGCACUUAAGAUUGAUUCUUCGGAUGACGUCUUUUGUGACUUAGUGGCGGACGGGUGAGUAACGCGUGGGUAACCUGCCUCACACAGGGGGAUAACAGUUAGAAAUGACUGCUAAUACCGCAUAACCCGAUAGGAUCGCAUGAUCCAGACGGAAAAGAUUUAUCGGUGUGAGAUGGACCCGCGUCUGAUUAGCUAGUUGGUGAGGUAACGGCCCACCAAGGCGACGAUCAGUAGCCGGCCUGAGAGGGUGAACGGCCACAUUGGGACUGAGACACGGCCCAAACUCCUACGGGAGGCAGCAGUGGGGAAUAUUGCACAAUGGGGGAAACCCUGAUGCAGCGACGCCGCGUGAGUGAAGAAGUAUUUCGGUAUGUAAAGCUCUAUCAGCAGGGAAGAAAAUGACGGUACCUGACGAAGAAGCCCCGGCUAACUACGUG
rnacentral:rRNA from 1 species